rnacentral:rRNA from 1 species
UACGUAGGGUGCGAGCGUUGUCCGGAAUUAUUGGGCGUAAAGAGCUUGUAGGCGGUUUGUCGCGUCUGUCGUGAAAAUCCAUGGCUUAACUGUGGACGUGCGGUGGGUACGGGCAGGCUAGAGUGUGGUAGGGGAGACUGGAAUUCCUGGUGUAGCGGUGAAAUGCGCAGAUAUCAGGAGGAACACCGAUGGCGAAGGCAGGUCUCUGGGCCAUAACUGACGCUGAGAAGCGAAAGCAUGGGGAGCGAACAGGAUUAGAAACCCCAGUAGUCC